rnacentral:rRNA from 1 species
UACGGGGGGGGUAAGCGUUGUUCGGAAUUACUGGGCGUAAAGGGCUCGUAGGCGGCCCACUAAGUCAGACGUGAAAUCCCUCAGCUUAACUGGGGAACUGCGUCCGAUACUGGAUGGCUUGGAUUCGGGAGAGGAAUGCGGAAUUCCAGGUGUAGCGGUGAAAUGCGUAGAUAUCUGGAGGAACACCGGUGGCGAAGGCGGCAUUCUGGACCGACAUUGACGCUGAGGAGCGAAAGCCAGGGGAGCAAACGGG